CCCUUAGAUGUCCUGGGCCGCACGCGCGCUACACUGAACGGAUCAGCGCGCUUUCCCUUCCCGAGAGGGACGGGUAACCUGCUGAACCCCGUUCGUGGUAGGGAUCGGGGCUUGCAAUUAUUCCCCGUGAACCAGGAAUGCCCAGUAAGUGCAAGUCAUAAGCUUGCGUUGAUUACGUCCCUGCCCUUUGUACACACCGCCCGUCGCUACUACCGAUUGAACGUUUUAGUGAGGUACUCGGACUGAGCCUCAGAAGAUUCACGUCUUUUGUGCUGCUCGGGAAGAUUCCCAAACUUGAGCGUUUAGAGGAAGUAAAAGUCGUAACA
rnacentral:rRNA from 1 species